GCCAGAAAGUCCAAGUCAUCUGUGGUCAAUGUGUAGAAAGAAUGCAAGGAAACUGUGUUUCAAGAACAAAGGCCAAGUGUGAGAACGCUGUCUCAUCUAGCAGAGGACGAUGGUAAAGAUAAAUCAUUUGAAAAGAGCCAAAUGGAAAUCCUGGAGCUGAAAAGCAUGAAACUGAAGGGAAAAGCUCCAUGGGGAAGCUCAAGCAGAGAUUUCCAGAAUCAGGAUUUCUGCAGGUGGGGCGUGAGCCUGUCCUUUUUCCAAGUCCCCACAUGAGUCUCAGGUGCCCCUCCGACAGCCCCAGGUGCCGCUUCUGUGUCCCCUGAGAGUCCUCAGAUUCCCUGGGACUGUUAGCAUUCAGCCAGGGCCAUAGACGGGCAGCCCUGGGGCAUUUGUGUCUUCGGCCGAAUUUCACAAGUCAUUCUGAUGUGUGUGGCGGGAUGAUCCCAAGGCCCUGUGGGGCUUGGAGAGAGAGGGACGGAGCAGCCACGUCUGCGGAGAGCUGACAACUGUUGCAAGAAGAUAGAGACCACGUGUAAGGGCUUUGCUUAGGAUUGAGCUCUCGAGGGAAGCGAUCUUUUUCAGCGCCGAACUGAGACACCUGGGAGAGAAAAGUCUGGAGGCGCACCUGCACCGGCACAGCGCAUCGCUCAGUGGGAGAGGAGGAGAGGGUCUCAAACAGCGGAAAGGCUACAGGCAAGAUCCCCCACUGUGGACACAUGUACACCCACGGGAGAAUUCCUACGGACACCAGACACCGUUUCUAGUGGAAGGGGAGCGCGUUCCCUCAGAAGGCAGCUUCUGACUUCUCACGCUCCCCGGGGCUGCCAAGUGUGCCGUGAUGGGUCCAGGAGCCGGGGACGCAGGUCUGCAUCAGCUCCGGGCUCGGGUCAGCACCAGAUUUACUUCUCCACAAGCCGCCUGGCCACGCACUGCUCCAGGAGUUCCCGUGUCCUGCCAUCCUCAGCCAUGAGAUGACCCAGCACAGUGUUCUGUGCUGUCCCCUUCGGCAGAGGAGAGCACUGGCCAGGCCGUGGUCCCGUGUGAUUUCAGAGUAAGAGCUGGUGGAAGGAUCGCGGUUUUCAAUCACUCUGAGACGUCUCGUGUGUGUGUGUGUGCGGGCCCCGAGCUCAGAGGCCAACAUGUACACAGUGUGUGCUCUCUUUCUAUCAGACAGAACUCCACAGUCGUGUUGGAAUGCUGCACAGAAACAGAAACCGUGUCCUUCCCUGUUGCUCAGUAUUUUCUCUGGGGCGCUGGGCUGUGCAGUCAGUUAAGCAUCGAUUCUUGGUUUUGGCUCAGGUUGUGAUCUUAGGGUGGUAAGAUCGAGCCCCACGUCGGGCUCCACGCUCAGCACUGAGCCUGCUUGAGACCCUCUCUCCAUCUGCC